UCCCUCUCGGGAUCACACCUGGAGAGUUUCCGUUACUCUACCAGUUUUGGCUAUGGGAGGGAGAGUCAAGAAGAGGCCUAACCAUUCCAUUCCUAGGUUGGGCAGUGGCUAGCGAGCGGAAAGCAAUCUGCUACAAGU
rnacentral:snoRNA from 1 species